rnacentral:lncRNA from 1 species
GGAGAAUGUGUUUCAGAAAGACUCGAAGUAACUGUCACAGAAGGAGACUCCAAAGAGGAAGGGCUGACAGGCUAUCUGGGCCACAGUCAGGCCCUGUGGAUCUGACUGCUACCAGGAUCUUAUUGGAAAUUUCCAUUCACAUAAAUGGUUCCUUGAAGUGCAACCAUUUUCUGAACAUUGUGGAGCUUUGGGAAGACAGAAAACACAUUCACAAGGUUGGUCUUCAGCAGGAACAAAUGCAGUACUAUCCUAGAUAGUGUGGCAGAGCUUA